UACGAACCGUACAAACGUUUAUUCGGAAUCACUGGGCUUAAAGGGUGCGUAGGCGGCCAUGUAAGUGAGGUGUGAAAUCCCUCGGCUCAACCGAGGAACUGCGCUUCAUACUGCAUGGCUUGAGGGAGACAGGGGUAAGCGGAACUGAUGGUGGAGCGGUGAAAUGCGUUGAUAUCAUCAGGAACACCGGUGGCGAAAGCGGCUUACUGGGUCUCUUCUGACGCUGAGGUACGAAAGCUAGGGUAGCGAACGGG
rnacentral:rRNA from 1 species